GAUUUAUAAAGAAGAGGUGAGAGACAGGCUCUAUGACCCUCUGGCAACCUGGAAAAUCCAAGGUGCCAAAUCCUGCCAGUUGAGAUGGUCUUAACUGGGACUAUAAAUU
rnacentral:ncRNA from 2 species